rnacentral:snoRNA from 1 species
AUUCCAUGAUGGGGACAUUCUAGGUGUAGUCUUGAAAGCGCUCCCAUGCUUCUGGAACAAAUUCAUCAUUUUGUUGCUGAAAACUUGUAAUCUUCCCACAGAGAGC